rnacentral:rRNA from 1 species
GUGGAUUAGAUACCCUGGUAGUCCACACAGUAAACGAUGAAUACUCGCUGUUUGCGAUAUACAGUAAGCGGCCAAGCGAAAGCGUUAAGUAUUCCACCUGGGGAGUACGCCGGCAACGGUGAAACUCAAAGGAAUUGACGGGGGCCCGCACAAGCGGAGGAACAUGUGGUUUAAUUCGAUGAUACGCGAGGAACCUUACCCGGGCUUGAAUUGCUAAUGAAUAUAUAUGAAAGUAUAUAGCCGCAAGGCAUUAGUGAAGGUGCUGCACGGUUGUCGUCAGCU